GUGAACGCUGGCGGUAGGCCUAACACAUGCAAGUCGAACGGCAGCACAGUAAGAGCUUGCUCUUUCAGGUGGCCGGUGGACGACGGGUUAGGAAGACAUCGGAAUCUACUUUUUCGUGGGGGAUCACGUAGAGAAAGGUACGCUUAUACCGCAUUCGACCUACGGGUGAAAGUCAGUGAUCUUCGGACCUUUCGCUAUUGAAUGAACCUAUGUCGGAUUAGCUAGUUGGCGGGGUAAAGGCCCACCAAGGCGACGAUCCGUAGCUGGUCUGAGAGGAUGAUCAGCCACACUGGAACUGAGACACGGUCCAGACUCCUACGGGAGGCAGCAGUGGGGAAUAUUGGACAAUGGGCGCAAGCCUGAUCCAGCCAUACCGCGUGGGUGAAGAAGGCCUUCGGGUUGUAAAGCCCUUUUGUUGGGAAAGAAAAGCAGCAGGUUAAUACCCCGCUGUCCUGACGGUACCCAAAGAAUAAGCACCGGCUAACUUCGUG
rnacentral:rRNA from 1 species